GAGCGGUCGUAUCAAUACGGCAGCGGCAGACGGGAGAGUAACACGUGGGAACGCGCCCUUCGGUUCGGAAUAACUCAGGGAAACUUGGGCUAAUACCGGAUACGCCCUUACGGGGAAAGAUUCAUUGCCGAAGGAACGGCCCGCGUCCGAUUAGCUUGUUGGUGAGGUAACGGCUCACCAAGGCGACGAUCGGUAGCUGGUCUGAGAGGAUGACCAGCCUCACUGGGACUGAGACACGGCCCAGACUCCUACGGGAGGCAGCAGUGGGGAAUAUUGGACAAUGGGCGCAAGCCUGAUCCAGCCAUGCCGCGUGAGUGAUGAAGGCCCUAAGGUUGUAAAGCUCUUUCAGCGGGGAAGAUAAUGACGGUACCCGCAGAAGAAGCCCCGGCUAACUUCGUG
rnacentral:rRNA from 1 species